UGGGGAAUAUUGCACAAUGGGCGAAAGCCUGAUGCAGCGACGCCGCGUGAGGGAUGACGGCCUUCGGGUUGUAAACCUCUUUCAGUAGGGAAGAAGCGAAAGUGACGGUACCUGCAGAAGAAGCGCCGGCUAACUACGUGCCAGCAGCCGCGGUAAUACGUAGGGCGCAAGCGUUAUCCGGAAUUAUUGGGCGUAAAGAGCUCGUAGGCGGUUUGUCGCGUCUGCCGUGAAAGUCCGGGGCUCAACUCCGGAUCUGCGGUGGGUACGGGCAGACUAGAGUGAUGUAGGGGAGACUGGAAUUCCUGGUGUAGCGGUGAAAUGCGCAGAUAUCAGGAGGAACACCGAUGGCGAAGGCAGGUCUCUGGGCAUUAACUGACGCUGAGGAGCGAAAGCAUGGGGAGCGAACAGGAUUAGAUACCCUGGUAGUCCACGCCCUAAACGAUGCAUACUUGGUGUGGGCUCUUCACUGAGUCCGUGCCGGAG
rnacentral:rRNA from 1 species